UACGUAGGGAGCAAGCGUUAUCCGGAUUUAUUGGGUGUAAAGGGUGCGUAGACGGGAAAGCAAGUUAGUUGUGAAAGCCCUCGGCUUAACUGAGGAAUUGCAACUAAAACUAUUUUUCUUGAGUGCAGGAGAGGAAAGCGGAAUUCCUAGUGUAGCGGUGAAAUGCGUAGAUAUUAGGAGGAACACCAGUGGCGAAGGCGGCUUUCUGGACUGUAACUGACGUUGAGGCACGAAAGUGUGGGGAGCAAACAGG
rnacentral:rRNA from 1 species